rnacentral:rRNA from 1 species
AAUGCAUAGGAAUUUGCCUUGAAGUGGGGGAUAGCCCGGAGAAAUCCGGAUUAAUACCGCAUAUGCUCUACGGAGCAAAGUGGGCCUCUGAUUUAAGCUCAUGCUUUGAGAUAAGCCUAUGUCGGAUUAGCUUGUUGGUGGGGUAAAGGCCUACCAAGGCGACGAUCCGUAGCUGGUUUGAGAGGAUGAUCAGCCACACUGGGACUGAGACACGGCCCAG